rnacentral:piRNA from 1 species
UCAACUCUAAAUUGUAAACACGUGAAGCUU